rnacentral:lncRNA from 1 species
UGUAAUAUGAAUAGCGAAAAAAUCAUGAUAUAGCUGUCGUAGGGAAAUAAGGGAAGAAAAUGCUUAGCGCAGUGGUUAACGAAUCCGACUAGGAACCAUGAGGUGGCGGGUUCGGUCCCUGCCCUUGCUCAGUGGGUUAACGAUCCGGCGUUGCCGUGAGCUGUGGUGCAGGUUGCAGACGCGGCUCGGAUCCCGCGUUGCUGUGGCUCUGGCGUAGGCCGGCGGCUGCAGCUCUGAUUCAACCCCUAGCCUGGGAACCUCCAUAUGCUGCGGGAGCGGCCCAAGAAAUGGCAAAAAGACAUAAAUAAAUAAAUAAAUAAAUAAUAGUAAAAAAUAUGUUGACAUUUUUUGGAGGAAAAAAUGUCAUCAUCACCAGAUACUAAUUGAGACUCUGAUACUUUAAAAUUUCAUUUUAAUAAAUAUGAUUAUAUACUAGAGUCAAAUAACUCUUGGGGAAGAAUUUAAGAUUAGGAUAUAAGGUUCUGACACAAAUACAAUUUUCUCCAGGAAAACUGCCCUGAACCCACAAGGGUUCGUUCAGUGUUAUAUGUGAACAGUCUAUAAUAGUCUAAGCCUUCCCGUCAGAGUCAACACAUAUGCUCCUAUAGGCAGUCGGUUGUCGGUCCGCCCCUGGGCUGAGGGUCAAGGUGGGUGGGGAGGUGUGUAUGGUGGUAAUUCCUGUAUCCUGGCCAUCAACAAGCAGCACCUACAACACUGGCUUUCAGUAGGUGUUGUUGGCUUAGUGUUAAGUGAAAGAGAUAGGCCUCUGGAACAGCAAAGGUUAGUCUGGUUGAAGAGAUAGAAAAACUAUAAAUUCCACCCCUAGGUCUUAGAAUUACAUGGUUUACUUUUGCUCACUGUUUAAUGUUCUGGAUUGCAAACUAUUUUACAACCUAAAUUUAUUUUGAAAUGUGUUCUUAUCAGAGUCUCUUGGCACACUUUAGGCACAAUUACAAACCAGUGGCCAUUUGUGAAUUUGCAUCACCGUCCUAAUUUCAUUAGUUUUUGUUAGGAAGCAUGGACUUAGGGGGAAAAAUGUAAUAACAUUGGUUUAAAAAGGGCAAAAAAAAGCAUUCAUUACUCUUUGAUUAAAUUUCUAAUCAGUAUUCAUUUCCAGUUUCUUCCAAGUUUCACUAGAACAUAGCAAAUAAAAAACAAAUCACCACGUCUGGCAAUAUUUAAAAUAUGAAUGUCACUUUCCAAAUUCAUUAUUUUCCUUUCCUCAAGGCAACAGACAGCUUAGCUUUCAUGGCAAGAAAAAUAGCUCCUCUGUGGUCAUUUCUAUGCAUUAAAAGAUUUUAAAUUUUCCAAGACAUUAUUCCAGUUUGAUCUCACACAUGCUGAAGGCAAACACAGACUAUUUACAUUAUGCUUUUUCUCCAAGUGAAUGACUUUUGCUAUAUUAUUCCAAAACCUGUCAGUACAUCUGAUAAUAGCAGAGUCUUUCCACUUUUAAGUGUUGUUUAUUUCAUUAAUGUAAUAGAUGACAAGGACCUUCAUUUUUGAAAACGGCGUCAACAUCUUCCCCGCGGGAAGGUGAACUGAAGUGAAAUGAGGAAAAACAAUGAUGUCUAUUCCUUUCUUUGCCUGAGAUUGUUGUUAGGGAGAAGCCGGCCCCAUAAAUGAAUCUGAAGACGCUUUAAUGCAGAAGUCUCCUGCAACAUUGUUAAAUAUGAUUAAAGUGUCUCUAAUUCAUUUAAAUCUAUUAAAAUUGGUCUAUAUAGUAUUUUUAAUUUUAAAAAAUGUAUGUCACAAUUCAAGACCAGAGUAGAAAAAGAGAAAGAAGGAUUUAUUCAAAUCUUUUAUACUUAUUUAUCUGAAUCAGAAUAGACAAAUUCUCCAAUUGUUGAUUUUUUAUUCCUAGCAUCUGGUUUGAUUCUAGACUUUUUUUUUUUUUAGUUUUUUUUUUAAAUUUUAUUACUCAACUUUAAUUCUGGAAUAUUUAUUUUAAACUUUGUAUAUAAUUUUCUUGGUUAUGAAAAUGCUAUCUUUGUUCUCCCAACCUAAUCUGUACUUCAAAGCACUGUCCUGAACCCUCAUGUGUUAUUUUUAAAGUAAUAACUUCUGCAUUUCCAUGUAGCUCUGACAAGAGUCAGGCCUGACUUCCAACAAACUGAACUUCUAGGGUUUGCAAAAGUAGCCUUUCUCAGCUUUAAAGAUUUACUCAAGCAAUUCUCACAAGGAGACUAUGGUGUAUGGGUUUUAUUCUUUUUCCCAUUUUGCUGAAUUUUUUAAGGCUCAAGAGUUUCCCCAAGACCACGCAGCUCUCAAUAUGAAGUUAAGAUUCUAGUCUGAUAAGUUUGGCUCCAGCCUACAGAUACUUAACCUUCCUGCCCGUCAGGGUGAAAUGUUCCAUCCAUACAAUGUUUAUCUGUAACGUGCGUAUUCCCUCUCAUGGGCUUUGAAAUGUCUUUGCCUCCAAAAAAGUACAACAUAAAGUGGUGAAAUAUCCCACUCUUUUUACCUCGUGACUGUCUGAUGUCACACAUGCAUCUUCCGGUCUCUGGGAGGCUAUUAUUACACAACACUGCUGCUCCAUGUCUGUGCUCAAGUUGGCUUGCUGAUUCAUCUGGGCAAGUCACUGAUGCUGCCGAAGCUGGGUGUUCAGAUUUGAGCAGCGUCUCUCCAAACGACAGAGGCCGACCCCUGGGGGUAGCUAUUUACCCUCCCCGGGAUCAGCAACCCCUAUAAAAUUUUGCUUUAUGUGAAUGCAAAAACUCAGUUUGUUUUUAAUUUUGCCUUGAGGUAUGUCCGACGUGCUUGAGAAAAUAAGGCAUCCAUCCAUUAACUGGGCAGCGACAACAUGAGUCACCAUAUAACCAUGUGACAAAUUAAGUGGAGUCAUACACAUUGAAAGGAAAAAAAAACUUUCUGAAUUAAGUUAUUUGUUGGUAAUACAUGGAUGCAAUAUAAAUGCUUUAUGUAAAGGUAAGGAGUUCCCGUUGUGGCUCAGUGGGUUGAGAACCUGACAGUGUCCAUGGGGAUGUGGGUGGUAUCCCUGGCCUCACUCAGAGAGGUUAAGGAUCUGGGUUUGCCACAAGCUGCGGUGUAAGUCACAGCUGCGGCUCGGAUCUGGUGUUGCUGUGGCUGUGAUGCAGGCUGGCAGCUGCAGGUCCGAUUCAACCCCUAGCCCAUCAGGAACUUCCAUAUGUCACGGCUAUGGCAGUGAAAAAAAAAAAAAAGAUACUGAAAAAAAUAAUGCUUGCACAACAUUGUGAAGGUACUAAAUGCCAUUUUAAAGCUGUAUGCUUUAAAAUGGUUAAAUUUGGGGAGUUCCUGUUGUGACUCAGAGGCAAUGAAUCCGACUAGCAUCCAUGAGGACACAGGUUCAAUCCCUGGCCUUGCUCAGUGGGUUAAGGAUCCGGCAUUGCUGUGAGCUGUGGUGUAGGUCACAGACAUGGCUUGGAUCCUGUGUUGCUGUGACUGUGAUGUAGGCUGGCAGCUGCAGCUCCAGUUGGAUCCCUAGCCUGGCAACUUCCAUAUGCCACAGGUGCAGCUCUAAAAAGAAAAGAAAAAAAAAAAAAAA